AUGACGUUCACUGACGAGUACAAGGGCGAGAAUGCCGUGGAGGCUCACGGCAACAACAAGUUGCACGUCAUCCACACCAACGACAAGAAGCAGAUGGCGAUCACCCUCGCGCAAACAAACACCAGAGAGCAGAGGAGAAUCAUGGCGGAUGCACCUCUGUACAACCAGCGCCGCAAGUACACCAGGGAGCUCCACGAUGUCCACCUCCACGGCAAUCACAAGCUCCAUGUCCUUUGCACAAGCAAGGGUAAAGAUGUGGACAAGAUGUUGUCCACGUUCAGGAGGAAGCUCGGCGGAAUGCCCGUCAAACUAGUCAGCGUUGAUGUCGAGUACACACACUACGAGAAGCCACAACGUGUAGCGGUGCUAUAG
rnacentral:rRNA from 1 species